rnacentral:rRNA from 1 species
UGGGGAAUUUUGGACAAUGGGCGCAAGCCUGAUCCAGCCAUGCCGCGUGCGGGAAGAAGGCCUUCGGGUUGUAAACCGCUUUUGUCAGGGAAGAAAUCUUCUGAGUUAAUACCUCGGGAGGAUGACGGUACCUGAAGAAUAAGCACCGGCUAACUACGUGCCAGCAGCCGCGGUAAUACGUAGGGUGCAAGCGUUAAUCGGAAUUACUGGGCGUAAAGCGUGCGCAGGCGGUUUUGUAAGACAGAGGUGAAAUCCCCGGGCUCAACCUGGGAACUGCCUUUGUGACUGCAAGGCUUGAGUGCGGCAGAGGGGGAUGGAAUUCCGCGUGUAGCAGUGAAAUGCGUAGAUAUGCGGAGGAACACCGAUGGCGAAGGCAAUCCCCCUGGGGCCUGCACUGACGCUCAUGCACGAAAGCGUGGGGGAGCAAAAUCAGGAUUAGAUACCCCUGGUAGUCCACGCCCUAAACGAUGUCAACUGGUUGUUGGGAAGGUUCCUUCUCAGUAACGUAGCUAACGCGUGAAGUUGACCGCCUGGGGAGUACGGCCGCAAGGUU